rnacentral:rRNA from 1 species
AGAGUUUGAUCCUGGCUCAGGAUGAACGCUGGCGAGAUGCCUUACACAUGCAAGUCGUACGGGAAUUUUUAAUUCAAGUGGCGGACGGGUGAGUAACACGUAAGAAUUUGCCUUUAGGAGGGGGACAACAACUGGAAACGGUUGCUAAUACCCCAUAUGCUUUCGAGUGAAAUGGAUUUUUCCGCCUAAAGAGAAGCUUGCGGCUGAUUAGCUUGUUGGUGAGGUAAUGGCUCACCAAGGCGACGAUCAGUAUCUGGUUUGAGAGGAUGAUCAGACACACUGGCACUGAGAUACGGGCCAGACUCCUACGGGAGGCAGCAGUAGGGAAUAUUGGGCAAUGGACGCAAGUCUGACCCAGCCAUGCCGCGUGCAGGAUGAAGGCGUUAUGCGUUGUAAACUGCUUUUAUACAGGAAGAAACGACUCUUGCGAGAGGCAUUGACGGUACUGUAUGAAUAAGCACCGGCUAACUCCGUGCCAGCAGCCGCGGUAAU